rnacentral:rRNA from 1 species
UACAGAGGGGGCAAGCGUUGUUCGGAAUUACUGGGCGUAAAGGGCGCGUAGGCGGCCCGCUAAGUCGAACGUGAAAUCCCCGAGCUCAACUCGGGAACUGCGUCCGAUACUGGUGGGCUUGAAUCCGGGAGAGGGAUGCGGAAUUCCAGGUGUAGCGGUGAAAUGCGCAGAUAUCGGGAGGAACACCAAUGGCGAAGGCAGCUCGCUGGGACGGUACUGACGCUGAGACGCGAAAGCGUGGGGAGCAAACAGGG